UUUGUAAAAGGUGCUUCGGGAGCGACCCCGGCCCAAGUCCCGUGGAACGGGGUGUCCUAGAGGGAGAAAAUCCCGUAUGCGCCCGAUGGUCACGCCCAUGUGAAGCCUUUUCGACGAGUCGAGUUGUUUGGGAAUGCAUCUCUAAAUGGGUGGUAAAUUUCAUCUAAAGCUAAAUAUCUGUCAAAGACCGAUAGCGCACAAGUAGAGUGAUCGAAAGAUGAAAAGCACUUUGAAAAGAGAGUCAAACAGUACGUGAAAUUGUUGAAAGGGAAGCGCUUGCAACCAGACUCGCUCGCGGGUGCUCACCCGCCCUUAGGGGCGGUGCAUUCUCCCGCGGCCGGGCCAGCAUCGGUUUAGGCGGCCGGAUAAAGGUUUCGGGAAUGUAGCUCUUUUCGGGGAGUGUUAUAGCCCGGGGCGUAAUGCGGCCAGCCUAGACCGAGGACCGCGCAUUCGCUAGGAUGCUGGCGUAAUGGUUGCCAGCGACCCGUCUUGAAACACGG
rnacentral:rRNA from 1 species